UUUGUGUUCAUUUUUUCAAAAAUAAGCUCGCGCUAUAAACGAGAUUCUAUUGCGAUUUCGCACAUACGUCACGGAUUUUUAAAUAUUUAAAAAUGUUACGUGAUUGGUUAAAAUUUUACAAGCGUGAAUAUGAAUGGCGACGUAAAAAUUCACGGAACGCGACGCAAUUCGAUAAGAAUCCUGCGUAUUUCGUCGUAUUUUAAUAAUUAUUUGGCAUGAUGGAUGAUACAGGAAAACCUCAUCAACGUUAGGAAGACAGCAAAUACAAAAUUGUAGGAUGUACAGUAUACGUAACAGAGAAAUAUUACGUUUUAGCUACAUCUGUGACGCAAAAAAUUUAAUCAAUCAAUUUCAAACUUUGCUCAUAAUUAAAAUAGUCAAUAAAAUGAUUUAAAUGUUUACCAAAAAUUCUUUUGGCUUUACCAGAUUGUAAGGCAUAUUCAUAAAUAAUUUUUAUGUAUACUAAUUUAUAAAUACUGCUACACUUAUAAACAGAAUAUGUAGUUUAUAUUUAGGAAACGAUUGAAGGUGGCAAAGAAGCCUGGAUAUGUGUUUUAUAAAAUAAACAAAUACUGUACUAUAUCAUCUAAAGAAGCUGCUAACUACGUACUGUACACGUUAUGAGGAGUGUAUUGCUAUUCGCUUGUACUCCGAAGAGAAGAGAGACAGGAGAUAGAUCGCAAGGGGAGGGAAGAGCUGACCUUAUAGAAGACAGCAGGAAGAUACACGAAGGCCGUCGAGAUAGAACGCCUUUCGGGAGGACUUUUAUGGUAAGCUGGCCCCUAUUUAGGUGUCAUCUGCACGGAGAAAAUCCGGAAAACUCCAAGCUGCCAGCCUGUCCAAUCGAGGCGCGAACUUACAACCGAACUCUCAGUAUUUAGUGUCUGAUCACGGCCGCUAUGAGCGGAGACGGAGUCCACUCGGCCACUGGUGGGCAUUUUUAUAGGUUUUUUUUUCAAAUAAAAAAUUUAACUUUUUAAAGAAUUCGAGAAAUAGUCGGAGUGGGACUUGGAAAAUUUUAUGGAAAUUUUUCAUUCGAAUCCGUAUUCCAGCGAUGUUGAAUAUUGAUAGUGGGUUCGCACCUGAUCACCGCGUGUGAAUUUUUCUGGGUUUUCUUUACGUGUGUCACAUUUAAAUACUGGUCCGUUUCCCACAAGUCCUCGCGGGGCACCCCAUUGGUAAGGCGCCCAUGUCUUACAUUGCCUUAUCCUAUCAAUCCAAUUCCUGAAAAAAUUUGGUGUUUUUCUUUAACUCUCUUUCCCUAGGCUGGAUGGCCGAGCGUUUAAGGUGGCAGACUACUGCUCCGGGGGACCCGGGAUCAGAAUCCAGACAGAUCGAAAAAUCCCCACGAAGUUUUCGGGGGUGAUCCGACCUGAUAUGUCGGGCCCUGUCCCUCACCACUCGGCCCCCCCAUUGUGGGCCUGGACGAACCCAUAAUGAGCUUCCUAAAAAGAGGCUCUCUUAAUGCCCAAUAUAAUAUGUUUAGUGGGAUCGGUCGUAAAAAAACUCGUUUUU
rnacentral:misc_RNA from 1 species